rnacentral:rRNA from 1 species
AGUGAACGCUGGCGGUAGGCCUAACACAUGCAAGUCGAACGGCAGCACAGUAAGAGCUUGCUCUUACGGGUGGCGAGUGGCGGACGGGUGAGGAAUACAUCGGAAUCUACUUUUUCGUGGGGGAUAACGUUGGCAAAUUUCCCCUAAUACCUAUUACUACCAACGGGUAAACGCAGGGCCUCUCCGGACUUUCCCCGAUGAUUUGAGCUUAUGUCGGUUUAGCUAGUUGGCGGGGUAAAGGCCCACCAAGGCGACGUUCCGUAGAUGGGCUGAGAGGAUGAUCAGCCACACUGGAACUGAGACACGGUCCAGACUCCGACGGGAGGCAGCAGUGGGGAAUAUUGGACAAUGGGCGCAAGCCUGAUCCAGCCAUACCGCGUGGGUGAAGAAGGACUUCGGGUUGUAAAGCCCUUUUGUUGGGAAAGAAAAGCAGCAGGUGAAUACCCCGCUGUUCUGACGGUACCCAAAGAAUAAGCACCGGCUAACUUCGUG